AAAAUGGAAUGCGUCAGAGUUUGGUUUGGAAACGGCUCUAAGCCGUUUUUGUUCAGAAACGGUUAUGAACCGUACUCCAAUUGCUUGUUGUGUUCCAACUCUGUCAUUAUUUACACUGUUUUAUUGGUGUGUCCUAAUUGAGUGUUGGAUCUUCUUAGUUUUUAUCAUUUCAUUUUAUUUUUUUAUUUUAAAAUAGAUGAAUGGAAUGGAUUCAGUUAGAAACCUCUCAGUGGACCCCACAAGGCUCAAGAGGCACACUGCUCUAUAUCUGCCGCAACCUACCGAAUCAUUACCAUCCUUUUCUUACGCUAAAAUCCCCCAAACCCUCAUUUCACAUCUGGCCGUCUCCCUCUCCCUCUCCCUAUCCCCCUCUCAAUCUCCCUCUCUUGCAAUCUCCCUCUCCCGAUCUCAACCCUCUCUCUCAAUCUCCUUGUUGCUCUCCCUCCCUCUCCCUCAAUCUCCCUCUCCCUCGAUCUCCCUCUCCCUCUUCCGAUCUCUACUCUCUCUCUAGAUCCCCCUCUCACUCUCCCUCCCUCUCUCGAUCUCCCUCUCCCUUUUUUGGUGAGCUGUUGCUGAAUUGAUUAGCUAGCAUGCGUAUUUAUGGUGAAGAUGUAUGGCUUGGAUCCUGCAGAGUCCAGGGCAUGUAACAUAUGGUAAUUAUAUCUACCUCUAGUUGUUUAUAUCUUUGCUGGCUAUCUACCUCCACUUCAUGCUCACGGAUCCUUUAGAUACCUGUUUCAAUUCAGUAAUGGUGUAUGACAUUGUUUCUACCUCUAGUUGUUUAUAUCUCUGAUGGCUAUCUCUCCUAGCUCUGCUGACAUAUGGAGUGUUGGAUGUACUGUCUGCUGGUUCUCUCCUAUCUCUGUUGGAUGUACUAUUAUUGAGAUGGUAUAGGAAAACCUCCCUGGAGCCAGCAGUACAAAGAGAUUAACUUUUUCCAGGUUGCUACUCUAUUCUAUAUUGGGACAGCAAAGUCACAUCCACCCAUCCCUGAGCAUCUCUCAUUGGAGGCUAAGGAUUUUCUUUUGAAAUGUUUACAAGAGUAAAUACACACUUUUUUUUUUCUUUUCUUUUAGUUUUCAUUUUUUUUCUGCCCCGUGUUUUGGAUAGAGUGUUGUUUGAGCGUAUUCAUUGCUUUUGAUGGAAAAAUCAUUUACGUUGCUGUCAUUAACAACCCACACAUCUGAUUAUUUAUUUUUUAAAUACAAAAUCAAUCCAGUAAGGGCCUGUUUGGUAGACACCUAAAAUGAGACCAUCUCAUUUUCAUCAGUUUGCAAUUAUGUGUUAAGAGCCUUAGAGAUCUAAAUUUGGCAAGGAUUAAAAUAAUCUUGAUAACCAACAGUCAUGAUCUCUAAAGGCUGAAACUAACAACACAUUUUAGCAAUGAACCAAGCUUGAGGCCAUCUGCUUCCGAAUUACUACAGGUGAGAUUGCGAGCUUUAAAUAAUAAUAAUAAUAAUAAUAAAUCUUCCUUGUAGAGCUUUAAAGUGAUAAGUAGUGACUAAUUAUCCAAUCUCAAAUUCAGUCGAGUUGCAGCUUUCCUUUUUUAUUGUUGAAUAGCCAAAUCACAUAAUAAUUUAGAGUUUUUUGCCUAUUAAUUUUGUAACCUAGAUGCAGCAUCCCUUUGUCACUGGAGAAUAUAAGGAUCCUCAUCCAAUAUUCCGCUCGUCUUCUCUGUCCAUCCCGAAUUUGUAAUUGUGGUUUGAAAGAUGAAGAUGGAUUCUUAAUGGAUAAGCUUCACUAUGCUAGUGAAGGGCGAGGAAGUGGAGGCAAGGUAUAUCGAGCUUAUUUAUCGAAAUGACCAGUUAUGUUUAUGCCAGAUGUGUUAAACAUGUUUAUGAGGUUCUCGGUUUUUUGCAAUGAAGAUUAGUGGACCUACAUUGUUGUUUUCAAUAGAUGCAGAUUAUAUAUAUAGAAAAUAAGAAGAAGAAAUCGGUCUAGGUGUUAAUUUGACCAAACCCAUCAUAUCGAGUUGGCUAGUCUAGUUUUGCAUAACAAAGUGUAAAAGAUCAUUACACAGGGAAGAAGAUCAGAUUCACUUCGACCUUUCGGCGAAAUCCGAAAUGGGCCAUAGUACAGGAAACAGUGGUGAUUGACCAUUAAAAACUUCCUAUGGGCUACAAAAGCUACAAACAGUGUGGGAGCAACUAUUUAGAGUGUAGGCUCGGGGGUCCACAAUACUUACAUGAAUACAUGAUCAAAGCUGCUCAUUAGGUGCAAGCCACUAUGUGGCUUUCCUUGUGGAGAAUUUAGGUUUGUCCACUCAUCUGAUGACCACACAUUUACAUUAAAUGUCAACUGUCCAUUUCUUUUGCAUAUGUUUGGCUCGCCAGAUCUGUGACUGACCUAAUUCUUGGACCCAAGGCAUACGUUUUGGGUGAGGUUAGAAAAGUCCACACUUGUGUGGAGCCUUGCCAACCACAGACACCAAAAUAGCAUAAGGAUGUGAGGCAAGAGCAUUCCAUCAAAUGGACCACUGUGAAGAAACAAAUGGAUGUCUAGAAGAAAACUGUAUUAGCCAUCCAUUUCUUUUGUAUUUUGUCCUCGACCUGAGAAGCAACACUGCCUGAUUUUUGCACAAGAACAUCAAAUCAAUCUGGUUUAUCUAAUAAAAUUAUGAAAAGCUGGGAUCUCAUACACAUCUUCCAUAUUGGCAUGUGUGGUUACAUGUGGAUGGGCACAGCUCCACACACGUGCAGGCUUAGCAAACAUUUGUUUCAGGUUUACUUAAUAUGGUAUUGAUUUGUUUGGUCUUUGUAUAUGAUAUUUGCCUCUACAGCAUGUGUAACUCUUAACUGCAGUAGUGUAAUUUAUGUCAGUAAGGAACUCUUCAAGGAGCCAGUACGUCUAGAUUUGUUUGCAGCCAAUCCAUGCUUUGAAACCCAUAUCAACUGAGAAUAGUAAUUUCACAUCCCAAGCUUAAAUUUGGAUUGCGUUAGUAAUAUUUCUAUAAUUUUACUAGUUCCCAUUUUGUUAUAUAUGACCCAACCAAAUCUAAUUGAAAGUUCCUUGCCAUCCAAUCUUUGGCCAUCUUUUUCCUAGACAAUUGAUAUUUAUAUUCUUUUCUUAUCCGGCUUUUGUAGGACAUU